GAAAGCCUUAUUCUAAAAAAUCAAUAGAAUCUGAAAGUGUGCUUCCUGACAUCAUUGGUUUACAUUUUGGUGCAAGCACCUUAACUGGUUGUAACUGGUAGCAGUUUGUGGCCCGGCUUCUGUGAUGGACUUUGAGCAGUGCUGUCCAUAGAGCAGUGGAGAAGGACAGCUACAGCUUACCUGUGGGUUCAAAGGUCAGGCUCCAAGGAGGCGAAGCCACCGUCCUUCCCUCCAUAACAGACUGACGUCCUGGACACCAUACUUAAAAGACCCAGACCCCACUUGGGUACACAGUUUGGAGACGGAGCUCACUCUUCCCUCAGCUGGGGACACUUGGCAGGGUGCAACCUGCACCACUGUACACUGGACAGUGUGAACUGACCUGGGAACUAAAUAAGCCACCAUGACAAGAAACUAGAAAUGCGGGAUAAGAAUGUGCCACCAAACCCAAGAGAGUGGUGACAGUGAGAGGCAACAGCCAGUUUCAUUGAGUGCCACCUCCAUGCCUGCCAGCCAUGCAUUGAGCAGAGGACAAAAGGAACACCCAUCGGUGCAGAGGACAAGGGCAGCAGGGCCUUGGAAUCUUUCAGGAUGAAAGGCCUCAGGAGCCUGAAAGGCAUUAAUGACAGGCUUUAGGUGUUGUUCUCCUCCCCCAGAGACACCUGCAAUCUAGAGGGCAGAAGGUGACUUUUCAGCUUGAAGCACUCAUGCAAGGUGCAGUUUUUGCUGCUCUGGAAAAUCUCCCCAAGAGUAACCAACAGCACCAAGAGAAAAGGAGGGCAGGGAGAAUAAUAACGAUAAUAUUUACAGCAUGGGUUGAGAUGUACCAUGUUGCCAAAUGCUGUUCUCAGUACUUUUAAUUUGAUCCUGUACGAUUUUACAUCUCCCAAAGGAGGAAACUGAGGCACAAAGGAAUGAAGUAACUUGCUCAAAUUUAAACAUUGUUUAAGUAGGACAAGACAGGAUUUGUAUCCAAGUAGCCUGAUCCUGGAAAUGAAGCUCUUGACAUAGCAAAAGAGACACAGGUAUUGAAUCAUAUUCAUUUCAUAAAGCCCUUGAGCAACUCAGAUGUGAAUAAAGCCCCCAUACUGCUGCCCUUGUUCCUCCCCCUAAUUCUGGUCUUGUCAUUGAUGAGCACCAAUCCCAUCUGCUGUGCCCAAGAAAGUAUGUGAAAAGAAGCUCAAGGAAAUGAGGGGGCUGAGCGUCUGCUCCCUGAGUCUAAGAAGCGGCUGUGUCAGGUCAGGCUGAAAGACACGAGAACUAGAGGCUGGAGGAAGCUGCACCGAGCUCUGGCCAGACUCUGUAAAACACAGACCAAACGCAGCUCAUGCAGAGGAGCAACCAGGCCAAUGAAAGGCCAGAAAACUACCCCAAAUAAGGGACUGCUGAAGGACCUAGAGAUGUUUAGCCUGAAGAAGAAAAGACGCAGGAGAUGGGAGAGCUGUUCCCAAAUAGCUCAGCUGUCCUCUUGGGAAGAGGGAUGAGGCUUUCCCUGCCUGGGGAUCCCAAGGGGGAGAAGUCACACAAAGGCAAAGAUGCUAAUUUCAGGAAAUGCUCAGAGAUAUUCAAAGACAAAUGAAGUUCCUGAUCUCAGUAAAGUAUUUAAGUACCAGCUAGAAGCCCACUGGCAUCCUCGUCAGUAACACACCUUUUCACUCUCAAAAGAGUCCUGGUUUGGGUCUCAAUUACUGGUCACCAGAAAGAGGGUCCACAGCCCCUCAGCUCCCAAAUAGCUUGUGUUGGCUUCACAACACUUCCAAGCUUGCAAUUAUUAAAUUUGCAUAUACAAGAUGUUUUGAGAUAGCAAUCUUUUUAAGGAUUUGUAACUACAUGGCUUAUACUUUUUAUCUACUUUUCAUCAUUUCCAUUGUGAUGAUUGAACAUAUUCCUUCAAAGGUUUGCUCCAUUUUCCUCUACCUAUGAGCUGCAUGCCAGCAGCGGAAACAAGCCCAGGAAUGUUGUACGGAAUGGAAAAGGCAGGAAAGCGCUGUUUGGCUUGGAAUUCCGCGGCUGGGGCAGGCAGGGUGGAGGAGUGAUACAGCUUUCUGAACAGGGUGUUCUUUGGGGCGUAGGGGACCUGAUGAAGGGAUCUAAGUUCAAAACAAAUGGGCAGCAACAGCAGGAGGGGCGUGAGAAGGGCCCAGGCUGGUGUCCCUGUGGGCCAGGACAGACAGGUUUGCAUCUGUGCUGUUUGGGGACAAUCGAAGCACAGUCCAUGCACUGGAGAACUGGGGCCACCAAGGGGCUCAGCCCCCAGAGUGCUCUGUACAGCCAUCCCUCCUAGAAGCCAAGGAAGCAUGUAAAGCUUUGAACGCAGCUGAUUGUCAUCUCUGAGGAAGGAAGCCACCAAUAAAGACCAAGGCCCUAGCUGAUGACAUCAUAAUAGUAUCUUCCAUGUGUAUCAUGCCUGACAGUGUGCAUAGCUUGUCUGUAUACUAUCUCAUCGGAUGCUGAUGACAACCCCGUGAAGUAAACGGAAUUGAUAUUAUCACUCCUGUUUUAAAAAUAAAAAAACUGAAGCUCAAAGUGACCUAAUGACAUACUCAAGCUCCCACGGCUAGGGAGUGGUGAGGCAUGGACUUCAGUGUCUAAAUUAAUGAAAGGCAGCACUUCAAAAGAGAACUAAAGGAGGCAGAACCAAUCCUCUUUGCUUUAUAGAAUGUACUUUCGUUCACGCCACUGUCGAUGGAAGCCCUGGGGAGAGAGCCGCUCAAGCAUUCCUUUGUAAGCGGCCCCGAAUUCCUGGCAAAUCAUUAGGCUUUCUAGAGCCCGCUCCCUGUGUGCACCACAUUCAGCUCCCCAGAAUCACAUUGGGUGGAAAAGUUAAUAACAAUCUCAGCUUUCCUCUGGCACCAAUUAGUACUUAAUAUAUUGAACACCCACACAGUCCUCACCAAGCCCUUCAGGGCUUUACGGCCACAGAGGAAAUGCUGUCAUUAUGCUCAAGGAAUUUACAGUCUCAAGAGGAAAUAGAAGAAGACGAAUAUCAAGUUAACAGGACAUAAAAUGCUUCACCAAAUACCAGUACAUGAAGUCUAAACAUAGGUGUGCUAUGUCUCAACCAAGGAAAACUCAUUAGAGUUUGGUCAUACUCCUAUGUCUGAAGCCAAUCACUGGAACAAGCAUAUUCACCUUGCUUACUGUCAUUAGUAAAUCAAAACACACUUGCAUAGAUUCAGACGCAUGCUUUAAUUUCGCAAGCCUUGCAUGUUCUACUACUACUACAACUAAUAUACUGUUUAAUUCUUUUUCACCUUUUAAUUCCUUUUAUAUAAACAUAUAAAGUGUGAACAUUAAUAAUAGUUUCCAUUAAUUAAAUGUUUACUCUGUGCACAUGUAAAUGCUUUAUAAUUGUCAUCUCAUUAAAUCCCCUCUAAGACUCUAUGAAGUAGCUUUUAUUAUCUCCACUCUUUGCAUAUAGAAACUGAGGACUAAAUGUAUUCAAAAUAGAGAUUUUGAAUAAAUUUCCCCAAAGUCCUAUAGCAUAGAAGUGGAAAAGGCAGAAUUUAAACCAAGAUCAGUCUAAAUCCAAAGCUCUUAAGAAGUUUAUAUUUCCUUAUUUUAACCUUAUGAUGUCUUUAUGCAGUAAGCAGGGAAGGUUGUAUCAAUUCACUUUUUAAAGGGGCAACACCCAAAGGUUCCACGACUUACCCAAGAGUUCUGCCACAAACUCUGCAACUCAGUUCUACUUACAAUCCGUCCCAUCAUCUUUCUAAGGUAACAGCAACUACUUGCAUUUAGAGGAAAAGCAAGAGUGUCAUAACCAGCCUUGAGACUGAAAUAUAAACAGGAGUGAAAUUUGUGCAUUUUUUAAUUGUUCUUUGCUUCAUGGAUAGUAUCACAUCCAAAUGUUAAAAACUACCUUUUCCUCAAUAGAGAAUGCAGAUGGUUUGGAAUCUUCAAAGCCACGCUGCAAAUGACCUACAUUUGAGAAAAGUCCUGCCCUGGCCGCUUCUCAAAGCUGCAUGAUGCCAGAGGUGGUUGGAUAAUCGAGCAGACUCCCCUGAGCAAUAUCCAAUCUAAAAUAGCAGUUAUGUCUGGGUCCCUGAUGACUCAGCAGAGUCCAAACUCCAUUGGAAAUUCUCUCCAUACAUCCUGCCCACUCUCGGUUUGCCUCCAUGGAGAGUCACCUUCUCUGAAACUCUGACAUAUUUGCUAAUCACCAUAGCAAGUUGGACAAAAUGUGUAUCUCGGCCAUAGUACUCCCACUCGCAUGAAUCCCCAUAAAAACUGUGGUCCUGCUGUAAUUGAUCAGAAAGUCAUAUGUCACCAUCAAUAAAGCC
rnacentral:lncRNA from 1 species